rnacentral:rRNA from 1 species
CCAAUAGCGUAUAUUAAAGUUGUUGCAGUUAAAAAGCUCGUCGUUGAACUUCGGGGUUUACCCAUUGGUCAGGCUUAAUUGUCUGUACUGGUGAGAUAAAUCUCUACCUUCUGAGGAACUUUCAUGCCAUUUAUUUGGUGUGAUGGGAAAUCAGGACUGUUACUUUGAAAAAAUUAGAGUGUUUAAAGCAGACUAUUGUCUGAAUACAUUAGCAUGGAAUAAUGAAAUAGGACGGACUGAUUCUAUUUCGUUGGUUUCUAGGAUCACCGUAAUGAUUAAUAGGGAUAGUUGGGGGCAUUAGUAUUCAAUUGUCAGAGGUGAAAUUCUUGGAUUUAUUGAAGACUAACUACUGCGAAAGCAUUUGCCAAGGAUGUUUUCAUUAAUCAAGAACGAAAGUUAGGGGAUCGAAGACGAUCAGAUACCGUCGUAGUCUUAACCAUAAACUAUGCCGACUAGGGAUCGGAUGAUGUUAAUUUUUUAAUGACUCAUUCGGCGCCUUACG